rnacentral:rRNA from 1 species
GUCUUUUAGGUAAUUAUUUAAGGUCUAGCCUGCUCCAUGAUUAAUUAAAUAGCCGCAGUAUUUUGACUGUGCAAAGGUAGCAUAAUCAUUAGUUUUUUAAUUGAAAGCUGGAAUGAAUGGUUGGAUGAGAAAGUGACUGUCUCUUUUUAAUUUUAUUUGAAUUUUAUUUUUAAGUCAAAAAGCUUAAAUUUUAUAAAAAGACGAGAAGACCCUUUAGAGUUUAACAAAUUAAUAAUUUAAUAUUCAAUGGGUUUUAAAGUAAUUAUUUUUUAAUUUGUUUGGUUGGGGUGACGUGAGAAUUGACUUAACUUCUCUAUAUUUUUACACUGAUUAGUGAUUGUAUGAUCCUGAUAUUUGGAUUUAAAGAAUAAAUUACCUUAGGGAUAACAGCGUAAUUCUUUUGGAGAGUUCUUAUCAAUAAAAGGGAUUGCGACCUCGAUGUUGGAUUAAAAUUUAAUUCUGGUGCAGAAGCUGGGAUUUUGAGUCUGUUCGACUUUUAAAAUUUUACAUGAUCUGAGUUUAAACCGGCGUGAGCCAGGUUGGUUUCUAUCUUUUAUAGUUAAAAUAUUUUAGUACGAAAGGACCAGAUAUUUAAAUAAGAUUUUUUAUUAGAAUCCUAUUGUUAUUUUGGCAGAGUAGUGCAAUAGAUUUAGAAUCUUUAAAUGUAAUUAUAUUACAAAUAACAAUUUAUUUUUUUGACUUGAUAUUAUUGUUUAUUUCUAUAUUAAUUUUGAUUUUGUGUGUAUUAGUAGGGGUAGCUUUUUUGACUUUACUUGAACGUAAAGUUUU